CUGCAAGAAAACCACAGGAAGUGGGAAGAAGAGUGUCCGGAAAUGAAGAAACUCCCAUAUUUACUCUGCAGACUCUUCCAACUGACCUGAAAAUCCUGCGGAACAACAGGCUACAGUUGCCCCUGAAGAAAUACAGAAGUGGAAACAGAAAGGGGCAGUUCUGAAGGAUGGAGUGUACUCCAACAACCUCAAUUUCUGCCUCCCUAAGAAUUUGUACCCAGCAGUCGUACAAUGGGCACACAGACCUGCACAUUUAUCAAAAGAUCUAAUGAAUGCUCUUGUACAAAAAUACUACCUCAUUGUCCCCAUACAAGAUUCUAUUUGGGACUGCACCUAGGCUAGGUUGCUAUUUUCCCCAACAACUGCAACUUCAAACUGAUGUUUUAGUAGAUUAUGUAACUGAACUCGCAAAUGCUUUGAACAAAAUCCAUGCCCAAGUUUUCUCUUCAAUUCCAGAUCCUGAUUCUGACACAGGCAACCACAGUCUGCUCCCC